rnacentral:rRNA from 1 species
CCUACGGGAGGCAGCAGUAAGGAAUAUUGGACAAUGCUCGCAAGAGUGAUCCAGCCAUGCCGCGUGCAGGAAGAAUGCCCUAUGGGUAGUAAACUGCUUUUGAACUAGAGAAAACCCCAGUACGUGUACUGGGCUGAUAGUAUAGUUAGAAUAAGCAUCGGCUAACUUCGUGCCAGCAGCCGCGGUAAGACGAAGGAUGCAAGCGUUAUCCGGAUUCAUUGGGUUUAAAGGGAGCGUAGGUGGACUGAUAAGUCAGUGGUGAAAUCUCCGAGCUUAACUCGGAAAUUGCCAUUGAUACUGUUGGUCUUGAGUACAGUUGCUGUGGGCGGAAUAUGACAUGUAGUGGUGAAAUACAUAGAGAUGUCAUAGAACACCGAUUGCGAAGGCAGCUCACAAAGCUGUAACUGACACUGAGGCUCGAAAGUGCGGGGAGUCAAACAGGAUUAGAUACCCUGGUAGUCCGCACCGUAAACGAUGAUUACUCGCUGCUAGGGGGCAACCUUUAGUGGCUUAGCGAAAGCGAUAAGUAAUCCACCUGGGGAGUACGCCGGNAACGGUGAAACUCAAAGGAAUUGACGGCGNGAGAGNGCGACGGACGACACGAGGGAGGAGG